CUCCAAAGCCGCAGGUGGCGCUGUGAUCAUCGGCGCGCUCAUAAACGUCACGCUGUACUCUUGCUCGUCACUGACCUCUGCAUACUGACAGCGGUCCCGAAAUCCAGCAAAAAUGGUUCCUCCAGUACAAGUGUCACCGCUUAUUAAGACAGCCAGGUGGUCUGCUCUUCUUGUUGGGAUCCUCUAUGGAAAGCGACGAUAUGAUAACCUGAAACCAAUCGCCGAGCAGGAAAGGAUAGUUGAAGAAGAGGAGAAGAAGGUCAGAGAAGAGAAGGAGCGUAUUGCUAAACAACUUGCUGAAGCUAAUGAGGACACAAUCCUGAAAUGAGCUGUCUGGAAAGAAGCCCGUUUUGUUUCCAUUAUGAAGUUCUUCUUUUUAUCUGUCUGGAUAAAGUGUGACAUUUGUAAUCUGCUGUUUUGGUUUCAUGAUGAAUUUUUCACACCUCACAACAUUUUCAGCUAAUCGAUCAUACCAGACAAAUUCCUGGUUUUGUAAAAUAUUCACUUCAAUACAUGCAAAUAUGUGAAUAUGA